rnacentral:rRNA from 1 species
UACAGAGGGGCAAGCGUUAUUCGGAAUUAUUGGGCGUAAAGGGCGCGUAGGCGGCUUGGCAAGUGGAAGGUGAAAUCCCUCGGCUUAACCGAGGAACUGCCCUCCAAACUGCUUCGCUUGAGACCGGGAGAGGUGGAGUGGAAUUCCCAGUGUAGCGGUGAAAUGCGUAGAUAUUGGGAGGAACACCAGUGGCGAAGGCGGCUCACUGGACCGGUACUGACGCUGAUGCGCGAAAGCGUGGGGAGCAAACGGGGAUUAAGAA